UACGAGGGGGGCGAGCGUUGUUCGGAAUUAUUGGGCGUAAAGGGUGCGUAGGCGGUUUGGUAAGUCUUGUGGUGAAAUACUCCUGGCUCAACUGGGAGCUUGCAGGCGAAACUGCCGUGCUGGAGUGUGGGAGAGGUGCGUGGAAUUCCUGGUGUAGCGGUGAAAUGCGUAGAUAUCAGGAGGGACACCGGUGGCGAAGGCGGGUCUCUGGGCCGUUACUGACGCUGAGGAGCGAAAGCGUGGGGGAGCGAAACAGG
rnacentral:rRNA from 1 species